UACGUAGGGGGCUAGCGUUGUCCGGAUUUAUUGGGCGUAAAGAGCGUGUAGGCGGCCAGGUAGGUCUGGUGUGAAAACUCGAGGCUUAACCUCGAGAUGUCAUCGGAAACCAUUUGGCUAGAGUCCGGAAGAGGAGAGUGGAAUUCCUGGUGUAGCGGUGAAAUGCGUAGAGAUCAGGAAGAACACCGGUGGCGAAAGCGCUCUGCUGGACCUUAACUGACACUGAGGGACGAAAGCUAGGGGAGCGAAUGGG
rnacentral:rRNA from 1 species